rnacentral:lncRNA from 1 species
GAUACUUUAAAACAUGCAAUGUGGCUCUGCUCACCAAAUAAGUCUUAUAAGUGAGUGAUCAUAGCCCUAGCAGUUGGCAUAUACUCAUACUGGCUCUGUAACUCAUUUGUCAUAAAGGCUAGUAUGUAGCACCUGAUCCGAUUGUCAUCAUCCAUCCACUUUUCGUGUGCUACCUUCUGUUCAGCACUUGGAUGACUUGGCAUAGCAGGGGGU